rnacentral:rRNA from 1 species
AGAGUUUGAUCAUGGCUCAGAACGAACGCUGGCGGCAGGCCUAACACAUGCAAGUCGAGCGCAUCCUUCGGGGUGAGCGGCGGACGGGUGAGUAACGCGUGGGAACGUGCCCUCUUGCCUGGGAUAACUGCGGGAAACUGCAGCUAAAACCGGAUGAGCCCUACGGGGGAAGGAGAGGAUCGGCCCGCGUCGGAUUAGGUAGUUGGUGGGGUAACGGCCUACCAAGCCUACGAUCCGUACCUGGUUUGAGAGGAUGAUCAGGCACACUGGGACUGAGACACGGCCCAGACUCCUACGGGAGGCAGCAGUGGGGAAUCAUAGACAAUGGGGGAAACCCUGAUCUUGCCAUGCCGCGUGGACGAUGAAGGCCUUAGGGUUGUAAAGUCCUUUCACCGGUGAAGAUAAUGACGGUAGCCGGAGAAGAAGCCCCGGCUAACUCCGUGCCAGCAGCCGCGGUAAUAC